rnacentral:rRNA from 1 species
CCUACGGGUGGCAGCAGUGGGGAAUAUUGCACAAUGGGGGAAACCCUGAUGCAGCGACGCCGCGUGAGUGAAGAAGGAAUUCGUUAUGUAAAGCUCUAUCAGCAGGGAAGAAAAUGACGGUACCUGAGUAAGAAGGCGCGGCUAACUACGUGCCAGCAGCGGCGGCAAUACGGAGGGGGCAAGCGUUAUCCGGAUUUACUGGGUUUAAAGGGAGCGUAGGCGGCAGUGCGAGUCCGGAGUGAAAGGCGGGGGCUCAACCCCCGGACUGCGCUGGAAACUGUACGGCUGGAGUGCAGGAGAGGUAAGUGGAAUGCCUAGUGUAGCGGUGAAAUGCGUAGAUAUUAGGAGGAACACCAGUGGCGAAGGCGGCUUACUGGACUGUAACUGACGUUGAGGCUCGAAAGCGUGGGGAGCAAACAGGAUUAGAUACCCCUGUAGUC